GAUGAAGAACGCAGCGAAAUGCGAUAAGUAGUGUGAAUUGCAGAAUUCAGUGAAUCAUCGAAUCUUUGAACGCACAUUGCGCCCUUUGGUAUUCCUCAGGGCAUGCCUGUUCGAGCGUCAUUUAAACCUUCAAGCUAAGCUUGGUGUUGGGUGACUGUCCGCUUCACGGCGGACUCGCCUCAAAAUUAUUGGCGGCCGGUACAUUGGCUUCGAGCGCAGCAGAAACGCGAACUCGGGCCCGUCGUAUUGGCUCCCAGAAGCUAUCUUCACAAUUUUGACCUCGGAUCAGGUAGGGAUACCCGCUGAACUUAAGCAUAUCAAUAAGCGGAGGA
rnacentral:misc_RNA from 1 species